rnacentral:rRNA from 1 species
CCUACGGGAGGCAGCAGUGAGGAAUUUUCCGCAAUGGGCGAAAGCCUGACGGAGCAAUAUCGCGUGAGGGAUGAAGGAUUUUGGUCUGUAAACCUCUUUUCUCAAGAAAGAAGUUCUGACGGUACUUGAGGAAUAAGCAUCGGCUAACUCCGUGCCAGCAGCCGCGGUAAUACGGGGGAUGCAAGCGUUAUCCGGAAUGAUUGGGCGUAAAGCGCCUGUAGGUUGUUUAUUAAGUCCGUUGUUAAAGCCUAGGGCUCAACCCUAGAAAAGCAAUGGAAACUAGUAGACUAGAGUAUGGCAGGGGUAGAGGGAAUUUCUAGUGUAGCGGUGAAAUGCGUAGAUAUUAGAAAGAACACCGGUGGCGAAAGCGCUCUACUGGACCAUUACUGACACUCAGAGGCGAAAGCUAGGGUAGCAAAAGGGAUUAGAUACCCCUGUAGUCCUAGCCGUAAACGAUGGAUACUAGAUGUUGUGCAUUAUGUACAGUACCGUAGCUAACGCGUUAAGUAUCCCGCCUGGGGAGUACGCUCGCAAGGGUGAAACUUAAGGAAUUGACGG